GGGGUUAUGGCGCAGUGGUAGCGCGUCCGCUUUGCAUUAUCAUGCCUGCGGAAGGUCUUGGGUUCAAUCCCCAAUGACUCCA